rfam:Trichobilharzia regenti genome assembly, scaffold: TRE_scaffold0026760
GCACUGCCGAAGGGUCCUAGACUAGGACGAAACAGCUGUCCAGUAC